GACGAACGCUGGCGGCGUGCUUAACACAUGCAAGUCAAUCGGUAAGGCCCUUCGGGGUACACGAGUGGCGAACGGGUGAGUAACACGUGGGUGAUCUGCCCUGCACUUCGGGAUAAGCCUGGGAAACUGGGUCUAAUACCGGAUAGGACCACUGCCUGCAUGGGUGGUGGUGGAAAGCUUUUGCGGUGUGGGAUGGGCCCGCGGCCUAUCAGCUUGUUGGUGGGGUGAUGGCCUACCAAGGCGACGACGGGUAGCCGGCCUGAGAGGGUGACCGGCCACGCUGGGACUGGGAUACGGCCCAGGCUCCUACGGGAGGCAGCAGUGGGGAAUAUUGCACAAUGGGCGCAAGCCUGAUGCAGCAACGCCGCGUGAGGGAUGACGGCCUUCGGGUUGUAAACCUCUUUCAGCACCGACGAAGCGUAAGUGACGGUAGGUGCAGAAGAAGGACCGGCCAACUACGUGCCAGCCGCCGCGGUAA
rnacentral:rRNA from 1 species